rnacentral:lncRNA from 10 species
CUGCUUUGUUUACCCAAGCAAGCCUGGGCAAUGGCGGGCGCCCCUCCCCCAGCCUUGCUGCGGCCUUGCAGUUUGAUCUCAGACUGCUGUGCUAGCAAUCAGCGAGACUCCGUGGGCGUAGGACCCUCCUAGCCAGGUGCAAGAUAUAAUCUCGCGGUGCGCCGUUUUUUAAGCCGGUCCGAAAGCGCAAUAUUCGGGUGGGAGAGACCCGAUUUUCCAGUGAGAUGAACCCAGUACCUCAGAUGGAAAUGCAGAAAUCACCCGUCUUCUGCGUCGCUCACGCUGGGAGCUGUAGACCGGAGCUGUUGCUAUUCGGCCAUCUUGGCUCCUCUCCUGCACUGCAAGAAUGGACUAAUACGCUAUGUGAAGACAAAGGGGAUGUCUGCAAGCCAGGACGAGUGCGUCUACCAGAAACUGAGUUCUGCUGGACUUUGAUCUAGGACAUCCAGCCUCCAGAAUGGAAUGUGCCAUAUGUGGAGACCUGCAUGGAAAGGAACUGAGGAUGCUCUCUCACUAAAAGCUAGAAGGAACUGAGGCCCUCAGUCAACAGUCUACAAGACACUGAAUCUUGCCAGCAGCCAAGCAGUGAGCUUGAAAGCAGAUCUAUCAUCAGCUGAACCUUCAGAUGAGACCGCAGCCUAAGCAGAUACCUUGGUUGCAGCCAUGUGAGACAACCUGAAACAGAGGGCACAGCUAAGCCUCAGCCAGGUUCAUGACCCUCUGAGGAAACUGUGAGAAAGCAAAUGUCAUUUUAAGCUAUUUAAUUUUGGAGGUAGUUUAUUACACAACAAUAAAUAACUAUUAUAAUUAUCUUGAGGAUUUAUUUCCUGGGGAGAAUACAUGGAAUUGCAUAUAUAGGUCCUCAUAUGCAGAAUACUGGUACCCUAGAGAUGUUCACCCCAGAGAUGUUUUAGGAACCUGUGAAUAUGUUACAUUAAAUGGCAAAGUUUUCCUGGAUGGUUUAAGUUUAAGAUGGAAAAGUUUUACUGGAUUAUCCAGUGGGUCCAAUCUAGUAACAUGAGUCCUUAAAAAUGGAGAAUAUUUUUUGGCCAUGAUCAGAGAGACAUGUGAUGAUGGAAAAAGUGUCAGAGAUGCAAUGUGAGGGGACUAAAACUGCUGUUGCUGACUUUAAAGAUGGAGAGAGGGGAACCCGAGUCAAGGAAUGCAAAUGGCCUCUGGAAGCUGGAAAAAGCAAGAAAUGGAUUCUCCUUUAGAGCCUGUGGAAUAAAAUGCAGUCAUGCUGACACCUUGAUUUUACCUCAGUGAGACCAAUACUGGAGUAUGACCUUCGGAGCUGAAUAAAAUUAUACGUACACAUCUUAAUUUCUUGGGAUUUGAUUACUUCUUCUGCUUUGAAAUUAGACCAAGUUUAGCCUGCCUUUGCUAUUUUGGCGUAUCUCCAAUUCUUCAUGAUUUUCUCAUAGUGUUGCCUCCAUAUGAUGCAAAAUAUCCAACCUAGCCCUGACAUGAAAACUUAAUUGAAAGUAUCCAACAGUGGCGCAAAGGCCACAUAAGGACAGUGAGAAGGCAGCCACCUGCAAGCCAGGAAGAAAGGUCUCACCAGAUACCAACCCUGCCAGCAUGUUGAUCUUGGACUUCCAGCCUCCAAAACUGGCCUUCUGCUCACAUGGGCUUCCGUGCACCUGCUUCAGGAGACAGCAACACUUGCGCCCGCACCGCGGCAGGCUCCCAUCACCUGGUGGAUAUGCCGCGCCGAGUCUCAUCACACCUUAGUGAAGGAACACAUGGACCCAUAUGUUAGCGGAUGUAUUUACAUCGUUUUAUACAGAAAGGGGAA